rnacentral:rRNA from 1 species
AACGAACGCUGGCGGCAGGCUUAACACAUGCAAGUCGAGCGCCCCGCAAGUGGAGCGGCAGACGGGUGAGUAACACGUGGGAAUCUACCCAUCCCUGCGGAACAACUCCGGGAAACUGGAGCUAAUACCGCAAAUGCCCUACGGGGAAAGAUUUAUCGGGGAUGGAUGAGCCCGCGUUGGAUUAGCUAGUUGGUGGGGUA